GUGAGGAGGGGCUGGCAGGGACCCCUCCCAGGUGGGGAUGGUGACCAGUCCCUGCUCACCCCUCGCC
ensembl:miRNA